GAUGAACGCUGGCGGCGUGCCUAAUACAUGCAAGUCGAGCGAACGGACGAGAAGCUUGCUUCUCUGAUGUUAGCGGCGGACGGGUGAGUAACACGUGGGUAACCUACCUAUAAGACUGGGAUAACUUCGGGAAACCGUAGCUAAUACCGGAUAAUAUUUUGAACCGCAUGGUUCAAAAGUGAAAGACGGUCUUGCUGUCACUUAUAGAUGGAUCCGCGCUGCAUUAGCUAGUUGGUAAGGUAACGGCUUACCAAGGCAACGAUGCAUAGCCGACCUGAGAGGGUGAUCGGCCACACUGGAACUGAGACACGGUCCAGACUCCUACGGGAGGCAGCAGUAGGGAAUCUUCCGCAAUGGGCGAAAGCCUGACGGAGCAACGCCGCGUGAGUGAUGAAGGUCUUCGGAUCGUAAAACUCUGUUAUUAGGGAAGAACAUAUGUGUAAGUAACUGUGCACAUCUUGACGGUACCUAAUCAGAAAGCCACGGCUAACUACGUGCCAGCAGCCGCGGUAAUACGUAGGUGGCAAGCGUUAUCCGGAAUUAUUGGGCGUAAAGCGCGCGUAGGCGGUUUUUUAAGUCUGAUGUGAAAGCCCACGGCUCAACCGUGGAGGGUCAUUGGAAACUGGAAAACUUGAGUGCAGAAGAGGAAAGUGGAAUUCCAUGUGUAGCGGUGAAAUGCGCAGAGAUAUGGAGGAACACCAGUGGCGAAGGCGACUUUCUGGUCUGUAACUGACGCUGAUGUGCGAAAGCGUGGGGAUCAAACAGGAUUAGAUACCCUGGUAGUCCACGCCGUAAACGAUGAGUGCUAAGUGUUAGGGGGUUUCCGCCCCUUAGUGCUGCAGCUAACGCAUUAAGCACUCCGCCUGGGGAGUACGACCGCAAGGUUGAAACUCAAAGGAAUUGACGGGGACCCGCACAAGCGGUGGAGCAUGUGGUUUAAUUCGAAGCAACGCGAAGAACCUUACCAAAUCUUGACAUCCUUUGACAACUCUAGAGAUAGAGCCUUCCCCUUCGGGGGACAAAGUGACAGGUGGUGCAUGGUUGUCGUCAGCUCGUGUCGUGAGAUGUUGGGUUAAGUCCCGCAACGAGCGCAACCCUUAAGCUUAGUUGCCAUCAUUAAGUUGGGCACUCUAAGUUGACUGCCGGUGACAAACCGGAGGAAGGUGGGGAUGACGUCAAAUCAUCAUGCCCCUUAUGAUUUGGGCUACACACGUGCUACAAUGGACAAUACAAAGGGCAGCGAAACCGCGAGGUCAAGCAAAUCCCAUAAAGUUGUUCUCAGUUCGGAUUGUAGUCUGCAACUCGACUACAUGAAGCUGGAAUCGCUAGUAAUCGUAGAUCAGCAUGCUACGGUGAAUACGUUCCCGGGUCU
rnacentral:rRNA from 1 species